ACGAACGGAGAGAUUCACCGUCAUCCCUCGGCGCAUUUGCGUUGGUUCGAUGCCUUGGGCCCUAACCGGUCCCGGGCACUGCCCGCGUUCUUCGCGCUCCGGGGGCGGCGUGCACUUCUCUCUUAGUAAUACAUCGCGACCCGUUCGAUGUCGGUCUAAGUGCCUCCCGGGAGUCUUCGCACCGUUCACGGUGUGUAGACCGCGGAGUGCACCGACCGGCGGUCGGACGGUAGAUUUGACGAAACGCAUACGCGCUUGCGCGCGUCCGGCCCUCUGCAAGGCGUUGCCGUAUCCCGCUUCCUGCCCGAGUGCGGACGCGGGUGCGGCGCGCCUGCCGUCGCAGCCGUGCCGUCUCGGACCGUGUGCGUAUCUGUCUGCGAUGAUUCAGUUUCGGGCACUCGCAGGACCCGUCUUGA
rnacentral:rRNA from 1 species